UACGGAGGGUGCGAGCGUUGUCCGGAAUCACUGGGCGUAAAGGGCGCGUAGGCGGCCGUGUAAGUCACUUGUGAAAUCCCGGGGCUCAACUCCGGGGCCGCAGGUGAGACUGCGUGGCUAGAGCACGGUAGAGGCGAGUGGAAUUCCCGGUGUAGCGGUGGAAUGCGUAGAUAUCGGGAAGAACACCGGUGGCGAAAGGCGGCUCGCUGGGCCGUUGCUGACGCUGAGGCGCGAAAGCUAGGGGAGCAAACAGG
rnacentral:rRNA from 1 species